rnacentral:rRNA from 1 species
UACGGGGGGGGCAAGCGUUGUUCGGAAUUACUGGGCGUAAAGGGCUCGUAGGCGGCCAACUAAGUCGGAUGUGAAAUCCCCAGGCUUAACCUGGGAAUUGCAUCCGAUACUGGAUGGCUUGAGUUCGGGAGAGGGAUGCGGAAUUCCAGGUGUAGCGGUGAAAUGCGUAGAUAUCUGGAGGAACACCGGUGGCGAAGGCGGCAUCCUGGACCGACGCUGACACUGAGGAGCGAAAGCCAGGGGAGCAAACGGG